rnacentral:lncRNA from 1 species
AAAAAAAUUUCCUUAUUUGCAAACUUUACAGUAAACUUUUUUUUUUUACAUAUUAGAACUCAAUGAAGAAUUAUUUAAAAGAGAGGAAAGGCAGUGCAGGGCUGGAGGUCCUGGAGGGUGGCGGCGGGUCGUCCUAACUAGCAGGCUGAAAGGUGCUGGAGGGGAUGCCUUCACUCAGAGGAAGUUCACAGCCACCUGCCUUGGAACAUGUACCUGUUCAUCUUUUCGUAAUGUUAGUAUUCAUUUUGCUAUCUUCCUGUUGCCAUUUCCAAACAGUGUCAGUAUGUUUUUGUUAAAUACGAACAUUUAAAACAUAUCGUAUCUGUAAGCCUAUUUGGGUGUCUUCAUUUCAUGCCCGCACUGCACCAUAAUGAGUACCACACAAAGCCAGAGGAUGACACUUCCUCCAGAGGUCUCACUGCACAUGGAGAGGUUAGCCCUGGCAUUAAGGGUCCUUGGAAUCUCUCAGCAGUCAUAGUCAGUCAGAUGCACCAAGGGCAGCUGAGUCAAUCUCCUUUUUGUAACAACAGGCCGUUCCUGCGGUUCUCAGUGCUGCCAACCUGGGCAUACUGAAGAGCCUCAACCAAUACUGGCUCUCAGGGUACUUUCCUUUUUAAAAGAAGUUCAACUUUUGCUAUUCUUAUGCCCCAUAACUUUUAAUUUGCACAAGAUCAGCCAUGCCCACUCACUGAAUUCUAUUAUAUUACCCACACCUCUGGAAAUUCACAAAGUCUGAAUUCAGAUCUAUGCAUAAGGAUGCAAACGGAUUAGCAAUAAUUGCUGGCACUGCCAUCAACACCUCCUGUCGAUCUCACCUGAUCUGAGGAUAAAUGAAGGCAAAGAAUGUGGCCCCAGCCCCUGGAUUGGAGUGGAGGCAAGGAGGGUGGCGAGCUGUCUUCAGCAGUCGGCCUCACCUCUCUGCUCCUGUAUCAACAAGUGCCAUUUCAUCCCCACUUCCAAUCCCCAACAUUUAUACCCCGUGAAUCAAUUCUUCUUCAGCAUGCCAGUUGCUGGAGACAGCACCAUUUACAUACAGGCAUCUAUAGCAGUUAUCUUCCAGGGUGGAAGCAAGAGUUUUGUAAUCAUAAAAAACAGGACGAGAAACAAGGAGUUCUGAAAAGAAGAGAAGGCGGUUAUAGAGGUGCUGGGGUAAAAAGCAAAGCAAAGGGGUAAGAUAGGAAAGGAGGCCUGGAUUGUUUCUGGGGCAUCCAGGGAAAGGAGUUGCAAGCAGAAAGAGGACCCUGGAUUCUGCACACAGCAGUGCCCCAUCUUGGAGAUGCCAUGAGCACAGACAGAAGGUUUACUAGGUGGGCGGCACAGUGACUUCUCCCCAGCACUCCACCCGUUUGUCAGUAGUGUACACGUGGAGGGGUCACCAAGAUAUAACGGCACAGGCAAAUAAGACACAGUUGCAAGGACGGCAACCAGCCCUGCAGCUCAUGGGAAGGAAAGAAUCCUUCAGGUCAUGAUCCCCCACCAUUUGUGUUGGUCCCCCUGGCUAGUCCCAGUUCAGCCCUUAUCUCCCCUUCUCAGGCAAACAGGCCCAGGUGAGUAGAACAAGCCUCCCUUGCUGCUCCCUUUGAAACAAGCACCUUCCUUCUCAGCACAGAGGCUGGCAGUGGCUUCCAUUCUACGCCCAAAGUUUGUCUCCUGUAAGCAAAACCUUACACCCCAAGAGGUAACACAGAACAGCAGUGCAAGGACAGAACAGUCCCACCCAGGAGACAGAGGCAGUUUGCAAGCCAAGAUGUAUCCUCCAGAUUCCACGUGAUCCUGCUCACACCUUUGCACAGCCUCUGCUUGCUUACUGUAGCACGCACACAGGGAAGCCCAGACGUUUUAGUCACUCACCAAAAGGAAAAAAACAAGGCAAAUUCUUUAGUGAGGUAAGAAUUACGCAUACACUUAGACCCAAAUCCCAGGCACAUUCCAGCCUCCCAAAGACUAUGGAAUAUGCAUAUUAUGUGUCCAUUUCUGUUUUUAUUCAGGCUUUCCCCUAACCAAACAAAAAUAAGUACCACUUAGAACUCUAACCAGGUAAUGUUUUAAAAUAUUAUGGCAAAGUACUCCCCACCUACACACCCACCUUCAUUGGCUUGAGUGGUUUCAUCACAUUUCAAACCAAUGAUUACCAACUCUCAACAGAGAGCAGAUCCCAUCCCCACUCAGCAGUCUGCAGACCACUUGGGAUAAUACCAGUUCUAUCUGUGGUUACCAUGCUCUCCUACAUGGCCUUAAUUACUUGGAGCUAGCAAAUCUAGACCUAAAUCUACAAUAUGAAGAUACAUCCAAAGUCGUUAUGAAGGCAAUGUGAUAGGGGUCGAGAAAUGUAACAUAGCAAUACAACAAUUCUAAUGAGUUUAGAACUCAAACUUUAUUUGUGCUGUAAAGGGGAAGAAAAGUGAUUAGUAAUUAUGUACAUGACGUAACAGAAUUAGUUCUUACCAUACAGAGCAACAUACCAGUACUUUCAACCAUCUACUUUUACAGUUUCAAUUUCACAACAGCAUACCCGAGACUACUUCCCCAUACAUGCGUGACUAAUACACUCUAAAUCCCAACGACAGUAAUUGUUUGCAUCAUCCCCAAGUCAUUGGUUAAGAACUGAACUACCAUGUCAACAUAUUUUUAAACAUUUAAAAAAUGGAACCCAGAAGACAGAAAGAUCCCAACGAUAAAAAUAACCAUGAUUUUUAAAAUUUCAAGUGAAACUUAAAGGGAAGAAGGAAAUGAUAAAAAGCCAUUGGUAUUACUUUACCAAUUCAAUAGACGCAGCUCAGAACCAAGCAGGGUUUUCAGAUCACACAUGUAGUAAAGGCACCUCGCCCACUCUCUCCCCACAAUCCCCAUCCCCUUCCCUUUUUAGGUCUUGUUUUCCAAACUGAUUUUAGGUGAUAGUUUCCCCUCUAGUCUUGGCUCAUUUAAAAAGCACAAACAUUCAAAUUAAAAAUACAAUAAAUUAUUCAUUCUAACCUUAGCAAAGGUACAUGGAUUCUGUCUACCAAAUAUUAAUUUUACAGUGACCACAAAAGGUUAUUUGGUUGUUACAAAGACUACAAUUUGAAGAUACUAGAUAGGCAAAAAUUUUGCCAUUAUUAAUAUCGACCAAACACAGAAAAGACAACAGAUGUGUUUCUAAGGCACGAUUUACAUACUAAAUUCCCUUGAAAUUCAAUGCAAUUUCACUUCGCUCAUGAUUUUCAAUCACAAGACACCUGUGACAAAUGAGGAACAAAUCCAGAAGAGCCCAUCUAAUCUCGUCUUAAGUGGUCCCUUAAAUACGUUAAAAGCCCACAAUAUAGGCAUUUACAAGGCUUUUCUAAGACUUCCAGCUCCUGAAAAAAUCACACCUUCACAGUUUCAAAUCAACCACCUAAGUUGCUAAGGGGCAGCGAAGGAUGCUGAUCUGCUGCGUAUGCAAGUCUGACGCCCAUCUUUCAAGUGACUAAUUCACUUGAUAACACCCACACCCCAAACAAAACAACCCUCUGAAACAGGCUGUCUUGGCCACCAGGAGGAAGCUGGUAAAGACAUUUCCCCUGCCUGUGAGAUGGCAUCACACACCCCUCCCUUUGGUUCUCGGAAAACUGGUGACUCUGUGUCACCUGUUUUCAGUUAACACUUCUUCAGUCUUCCCCACCUUGUAGCAAAGCAAAACAAUUUUUGUUUGUUAGUUUGUCUGUUUGCACUUAAAGUUCUAAGCACUUUGGAAAGUUUCUAAGCAACUUCUCACUUCCAAGCAACAACUUAACCAACACUAACAACUUACUAUUAUUAAUUAGUAUUUUCUUGGCUCACCCACGCACUAAAUUCCCCAAAGCCCCAGAGAAUUCCCUUCAACCUGCAUUUCCUACCACCCCCACCACCCACACUGUAUCUCUAACCAACCCUCUCCCCUUCUUCACCCUCAUCCCUCCCAGUACCAGUGCCAAGCUGCAUACCCCCAUCCCCCACACUGCAACGCCCACGGGACCGGUGCCAAGCUGUCCCCUUCUCCCCGUCCCCCACAACUCCCACCUCAGGGUCCUCUUACUAGAAUGCCAAGAAAGUAUUAUGAAAUCUAACGAAGUAAAGUUCAAGUUUAAAAAAACGAAGCAAGAACAAAAGAGCACUACCGGUGUACCCACCAUUCCCUUCUCCUAGUAAUCUGCAAUGCAAUCACAAUGCCCAAACUAGACCUGCCAUUUCUCACACACAGAUUUAGGAAUGACCAACUUGUACCCUCCCAGCGUUUAGCACAACACAAUGACACCCUUAAUUUGACAAUCUGCUUCCUCUAAUAUAUCCCCAGUCUAAGGCAUUUAAAAUUAAACAGCUCUUCAACGCCCCAAGUUAUUUCAUCAGGCUAAGAACUUCUCCGAGAAACGCACAAGAAGGCAGGCAAACAGGUGGGUAGGUGAGAGGUCACGGGGCUCCAUCUGCAAGCUCCAUCUACAAGGCAUCAAUCUGCGUUGUGGCAUCAACGUUAAAAUGUUCUACAGCUUAGGGAUCUUCUUGAAGCAAGGUUCCAAGCACAAAACUAGUAUGACCGGAGGCUCAAUUUAGAAGAUGCAGCAUCUGAAAACCUUUACCCCAGGAAAGGAGGGGUGCCUGCUGGCAUUCAUGGGCUCUGGAACAAGCAUUUAUUCAAAGCUGAUGGCCCCUCGAGCCGGAUGCAUCUGCUGUGGACUUUUUAAGAUUGCCCCCCAUAAGCUCAUCUGCAAACUUUAAAUGGUAGCCUCCUGAAUACAGGGCUUCCUGAGCAAGGCCUGGAAACAGAACAUUGGAGAACUUCCUCCUCCUAAGCCUCUGGAAAUUCAAUCUGCAGGCAUCAAUUGAGGCGGGCUCUCUCCUCCAGGGUCUCCCCUCCUGCAAUGCUAGGACUCACACUGGCCAGGGACUCCAUGUCUCCCGGUUCCAUCUGCUCGCCAUGAGGAACACUAUAGUAACAAACCACGGUCCAUGAAGCAUUUUUGUAACUUUCAGCUGGAUGGCUGCAGGCCCACCCAAGGGUGCACAUUCACUCCCCACCCUCUCUGCAGGCAAGCAACACCGAUCCGCCCCACCCCAGCCUCAGCGGGAAGGCCUCUCUUCCUCCACCAUUACCAACAAUACCGACUCCAACAGCCACUCGGCUUACUGUCCCGGGCUUACCAGAUGACCAGGUAAUGUUUUAAGUGAAUGGAUAAGUUAAAGGGAGGAAGAAGGGGUGGAGUGAGCUCACAAGAAGAGUUUAGCGCCAAACCUAGAGAAAAGUCCAAAAGGAGCACUGCCACCUGGAAAAUAAAGCGUUGGUCAAUGUUGUCCCCAACACCCGAGCAGCGUGCCUCGCAGUCCCCGCCUGUCAAACAUGCUAGGUGCCGCACCAGUCACCGGUGAGGAUGGCGCCUUAACUCCACAUCACUCCUCAGACCACCCCUCACCUCCGCCCAGGGGCCUGGCUUCGCACCCAGACCUGGACGCUCCACCAGGCUGGGCCCGGCCUGGGCCCCGUCCCAGGCCGAGCGAAAAUUACAUACCACCCUGGGCCAGAGCGGUCAGCCCCGUCGAGCUAAGUUCAGUUCCACAAGACCAGGCCUCAUCCCCAGGCGGGUUCACAGCCCUUGGUCUGGAAAAAAAGGGGCUGCUGGCAUGGACAAGUUGAAGAUUAGCCCUCCCGGCCCUCCUGCAGCCCUGCACCCACUGCCUGCCUUCCUGAUCAUUUCCAGGGCUGCUGCGGCCUAUUCCUCCUGACUCCUCCACCCCUUCUACCUCUCCCUGCCUUCCUCCUUCCACACAGACCAGCGCACCCGGGCUCGCUCAGCUAUGCAAGAGCGGCGCCCUCCCAGAGGUCAAGUUCCCCCUCCACCAGGCAGUAGGGACAGCCUGGCCUGGAGCGUGGCUGUUCUGCCUGGGGGACCCUGCGGAUAUUUUCCAUGCAGCCUGCCCCACUGUGGUCCCCCUAGACCUAGUCUCCUUGCCAAGCUUCCUUCUCGCACCCCCAGCCCGCCCCCUCGUCUCAUCUAACUCAGUCAUCUCUCCCUGUCUGUCCCCUGAAGCCCUGAGCUAGCCACUUCCUCCCCCACAACUACACCCAGGCGCGCAUCCCUCCCUGUCGCUAACUCCGGCUGGACUUGCCACAACUUUUGCUUUUAUAGCCCUCAGCCGCGUCACCGGGGUCAUUGCUCAACGGGACGAUUCCUCCACGGCCACCGGCAAAAAAGUCCCUCCCCGACCCUGCCCGGAGAGACUCCCGGGCGGUGCAUGGUCUCCCAGGCGGCCCCCACGCAAGGACCCCAGUGUAUCCCCGCUUCUCUUUAACAGUGCUUUUUGGGAUCGCGGACAGCGCUCAAGGUGACAUUUGGGAGGCGAAUGCCAUGAGGAAGAAGACCCCUUUUCUUCCCGGAUGUUGUUGAGGCAUCCCCAGCCUGGCUCUUCUGGAAGCAAACCUGGUGAACUCCUGAGCCCUCCAGCAAGGCGGGCAGGGCCCGAAUGUCUGGAGAGGACUUUGGACCGUGUAGCGGGCACCUCCCUUGCUAGGGGGUGCAGGGUGAUGAGGAAGCUCUGGCCCCUGAGGUAGAGGAUGAAAAAGGACCCCGGUUCAAGUAACCAGAAUGGAAAAUGGCAUCUGACAGGAACUCCUGCCAGGAACCUCUCCCUGGUUAACACCCACACCCCAUACAAAACAACCCCUUGAAAGCAGGCCCCCUUGGCAACCGAGAAGAAGCUGGUGAAGACAUUUCGCCUGCGUCUGUGAGGUGGUAUCAGCAGGCAGGGCUGGGCCUGACAUGCACCCCUCCCUGUGCUUCUCGGAAAACUGGUGACUGUGUGUCAUCUGACCUUCAGCACAGAAGGUGGUGAUGUGGCAAGCCCAGGCUUGCUCCCUGGCGCCUGCUUAGCCCUGUUUCUCUGCCAGGGGAAGAUUCCGGCAGUGCGGCCUCCUCCAGGAUCUGCCCCAUCAGUCUCUUCCUGACUGUAUCUCCAGGGGUGGGUUGGGGUGGGGUGAUUUGGCCUGAAAGAACCGUGUGGAAAGAGGGAAUUGUCUGUCAAAAUGUUCUAGAAAGCUGGGCAGCUUAUGAAACCAAUGGAGGAGUCUUCACUGCUGCUUCACAGUACUGGGCAGUGGAGUCAGCCAGACCUUUCUUUAUCUCACCAGGCAUCUGAGAGGUGGGUCGUCCCCGCUGUAGUGCUGUUUCUGGGCCCCAGUUGAUGUCUUAACUUGCUUUUCUCUAUUUCAGGUCUCGAAAUCUCUCUAAUUCACACACAUCAUUCCCAAAUCCCAGAAACAAACUAUGGUAGAUUUUAUUUUUCAAAAAAGAGUGGGAUCCAUUCGCUUUUGAAGGCCAUGGUGGGAGGAUUGCCUAGAGGCCAGGAGUUCGAGACCAG